CCCCCCCUCUCUCUCUCUCUCUCUCGACUGCGAUUGUCAACUCUGGUGCGAUUGUCGCCGCCUCAUCGACGCCGUGCCGCCGGCUUCUCGCUGCCUCGCCAACACCGUUCGGUGUAUCCUUGAUCUUCCAGGCAAGUGCAGUGGCCUGAAUACCUUUGGUCUUAUGUGGUGCAAUGGUAAGAUAAGGGUUCUAAGAAACUUUCAUGACCUUUAGUUCAUUUGUUGUGAAAGAAAUUAUUUGGACUCGCCCGUGCUCAGUAUGAAAAUCUAGCUAUUUCUGUUGGAAUCUUAUGUGGACCAAUCUUGCUGUUCUUGACAUCAAUCAAAGGAGACCUAGAAGUGGCACUAAACUUCCCUCAUAUAUUCUCCCCUGGCAUUCAGGUGCAUGUUAUAUCACAGAAAGCAUGUUAUCCUUAGAUGUUUUCAGGUGCAUUAUCGACAACAUAUCAUGGUUUUAGUUGCCUCAUUCCUGUUUUGUGGUAGUUCUGUGGCAUAUGGUUUGUAUGGAUUAUCAAUUAGCUAUCUUACCUAUUGAUCUAAUAUCCAGUCCUCUGCUAUAAAGAUCCAAAUCUGGUAUAUCUGAGUGAGAUUUGUAAUUUUAUUGAUGAUAAAUUCAUAGGGAGCACUUGUAAUAUGAAACUGGAGUAGGAGUUCUUGGAUCAGUACUAUUUAUCAAUAAUUCGACUUUUGAUUAUUGGUGGUACCUGUAUCUCAUUUGCUUUCUUCCAAAACUCAUCAUUUACUGUGGGGCUAGAAGUCUCACCCUUCGAUUUCUGUCUCUCAUUUGUGAUAAAAAAAUGUUGCACUUUGAACUGUAAACUUCCCAUCCUUUGUGAAAUUCCAAUAUCUGGUUUUCUUCAACCCCCAUCUUACGUAUUAAGUUGUUGCAGCUUGUUAAAUUAGUUGUAGUAUUCAUCAAUUAUAAGCUCACAGACUUUUGAAUAUUAUAUGUUGAGAAUCUUAACUAAGGAUAUGAAGUCAGUAAGAAGUGAUGAUGGAUUGGGUUAUCUUUCUUGAUGGAAGGAAAUAAAGCUUAGAAACUUGUAAAACAAAAGUUUUGUCAUGUCUAUAUAAAAGUUUUUGUUUCUCCAUCAGUUACAACAAAUGUGCAAAC